GCAAAGAGUAGAGAUUUCAUUAAUUACAAUAUAUUUUUUUGAUUAUUGCUUCACCAAUAAUUUCCUUGUUUGUGCUUUCUCUUUGUUUUCAAGAAAGAAAUUUAUUUACGAAAGAAUUUGGCACAUAUUCCUUAAGAAUGAUGCGUAGAAAAUCUAUGUAGUAUCUUUAUUAUUCAGGAAGUUUAUUUUUAUUUAGUUAGUUUCAUUAUUUUAUUAUUUUAGGAAGUUUACUUAUUUAGUAGGAAUCCAGUCUUCUUAGUUUCAAGUUUGAGCCCAUAAAUAGGGCUACAAAGAGCCCCAUGUAAUUUAGUUCUCAAUCAUGUAAUUUAGUUCUCAAUUGAGAUUUUUCUUUAUAUCUUGUUCUCUCUCUA
rnacentral:misc_RNA from 1 species